GACGAACGCUGGCGGCGUGCUUAACACAUGCAAGUCGAGCGGUAAGGCCCUUCGGGGUACACGAGCGGCGAACGGGUGAGUAACACGUGGGUGACCUGCCUCUAGCUCUGGGAUAAGCCUGGGAAACUGGGUCUAAUACCGGAUAUGACUCCACGGCGCAUGUUGUGGGGUGGAAAGCCUUGUGUGGCUAGAGAUGGGCCCGCGGCCUAUCAGCUUGUUGGUGGGGUGAUGGCCUACCAAGGCGACGACGGGUAGCCGGCCUGAGAGGGCGACCGGCCACACUGGGACUGAGACACGGCCCAGACU
rnacentral:rRNA from 1 species